GUAGUAAGCUUGCAAAACAAUAUCUCCAAGGCCAUAAGUACACAUUAAAAUGAAGAAAAAUCAACUUAGAUGCAAAAAAUAAAAUUUACUAUCCCUAGUAAACUUUUACUAGGGGUAGUAAACUUACAAAACAGUAUUUUCAAGGCCAUAAUACAUACUAAAACAGAGGAAGAACAACUUAGAUGCAAAAAAAUAAAGUUUACUACCCCCAUUAAACCUUUACUGGGGGUAGUAAACUUGCAAUCUAUUAUCUCCAGAAAAAAAAUCAACACACAAGCAAAUAAUAGAAAAUUACUACCCCUAGUAAUUUUUAUAUUUUUGGUGCAGAACACAAAAAUAAGAUGCGUUGGCUAAGAUCGGCGUGCGUGGCGGAGAUCGAAGGCAGCCGUGGUGCGUGGUGGAGCUUGGCUCACCGGAGUCGUUGACUUCAGAUCUGCGGCGUAAGGUUUAGAAUCUGCGUCGUCGACUUCGAAUCUGCCAGCGAGGAGGAGGUCGGGGCAGUGGCCGGAGGUGAGGAGGAGGCCGGGCCAAUAGGCGGAGGCGAGGAGGAGGCCGGGGCAGUAGGCGGAGGCGAGGACGAGGUCGUCGGAGUUUUUGGAGGCAGCCGUGGUGCGUGGUGGAGCUCGGCUCACCGGAGUCGUUGACUUCAGAUCUGCGGCGCAGGGUUUAGGAUCUGCGUCGUCGACUUCGAAUCUGCCAGCGAGGAGGAGGCUAGGGCAGUAGGCGGAGGCGAGGAGGAGGCCGGGCCAAUAGGCGGAGGCGAGGAGGAGGCCGGGGCAGUAGGCGGAGGCGAGGACGAGGUCGUCGGAGUUUUUGGAGGCGAAAUGAGGUCCGCCGGUGAUGGAUUUGAGAGAGAGAGAGAGAGAGAGAGAGAGAGAGAGAUA
rnacentral:lncRNA from 1 species